AACGUUUUUUCACCAAAUUGUGUCUAGCGGCCGAACCAGGCACCGUAGGACAACGUUUAUUUCAACAAAUUGUAGGUGUCUAGCGGCCGAACCUGAUAACGUAGGACAACCGUUUUUUCACCAAAUUGUAGGUGUCUAGCGGCCGAACCAGGCACCGUAGGACAACGUUU